GGAACGAGGGGUAGAAAACAAGCUGAAGAAGAUGAAGAUAUGGAAAAGAGAGGGAAACCGACACACAGACACCCAAACAUUGGUCCUCCCUGUUUUCUAGUAGUUUUUCUUAGAAUAGAGAAUACUCUUCUAAUAAUAGAGAAUACUAUUUUAAGAAACCUAGUAGGAUGAUAGCAUAGCUACAUCGGGCUAAUAGGAGGAUAGCAUAGCUACAUCAGGCUAGUAUCAGGAUAGCAUAGCUACAUCAGGCUAGUAGGAGGAUAGCAUAGCUACAUCAGGCUAGUAGCAGGAUAGCAUAGCUACAUCGGGCUAGUAGGAGGAUAGCAUAGCUACAUCAGGCUAGUAGGAGGACAGCAUAGCUACAUCGGGCUAGUUGGAGGAUAGCAUAGCUACAUCAGGCUAGUAGGAGGACAGCAUAGCUACAUCGGGCUAGUAGGAGGAUAGCAUAGCUACAUCAGGCUAGUAGGAGGAUAGCAUAGCUACAUCAGGCUAGUAGGACAGCAAGCUGAGAAAUGUCUUGGCUUGGUGUUUUGGACUGAUCAUGUUCUAGAGAGAUGGAGGGUCUCUACUCCCCCAACAUGUCUUUACAUAAGACACAGCUGCAUAGAGAGAGACACAGCUGCAUGUACAAAUGCAGGAUGCUACCCUCCACAGCAUGGACUUCGCUCCAGAUCAAAACUUCAA
rnacentral:lncRNA from 1 species